AAAUACCAUACACUGGGCAACUUACAAAUAACAGAAAUUUAUUGCUGACAAUUCUGGAGGCUGGGAAGUCCAAGAUCAAGCUGCCAGCAGCGUUGGUGCCUGGUGAGAGCUGCUUCCUGGGUCACAGACAGCACGUUGGUGCUGUGUCUUCACAUGGCAGAAGGGGCAAGGGAACUCUCUGGGGCCUCUUUCCUAAGGACACUAAUCCCAUUCAUGAAGGCCCCACCCUCAUGACCUCAUCACCUCCUAACAUAACCUCCUAAUACCAUCACCUUGGGAUUGGGUUUCAGCACAUGAAUUUGGGAGGAUGCAGUGUUCAGUAGAGAGCAUAAGGGGCACUCGCCCAAGCAACCAGAGGUAGCCAGAAUUCUCAAGGGAAGAGAGCGCCUGCCCUGGAAAUCAGCCCUCAUUCCUGAGACACGGGGUCACAGGGGACACAGUGAAACAGGGUACUGGGCCCCAUUGCAGGGCACGUGGACAGCCGUCUGCUCUGAGGGGAGUCAGGCAGCAUCAGCCUCACAGGACCCAUGCCCCUUCCUGGACCCCUGGACCCCGUUGAAAGGAAACGGCCCAGCGUUGAGGCCAGGAGCCAGGGCAGCUUUGGCCUUGUCACCAGAAACUCUGAGUCCCAGGGUCAGGUCUUUUGCUCUGGAGCCGUGGUUCUCAACUAGGGGAGCUGGUUUCACCCCGUGUUUGUUUUCUAUGGCCGCCGUCAACAAAUGACACAGCCUUGGUGGCUGAAACAACACAAGUGAUUUUCGUACAGUCCUGGAGGUCAGAAGUCCCACAUGGUCUCUGCAGGCUAACAGGGUGCCUGGAGGGCUGCACCUGGAGGCUCUCUGGCAGAGACUGUUUCCUUGUGUGUUCCAGUUCCUAGGCGCUCUGGUUAAGGCCCGUUCCUCCAUCUUCAAAGCCAGUGACGCCAUAUAUCCCUCUGACUGACCUUAGCUGGGAAAAGGUGACUCAGUGGGACCUGCACAGAUACUCCAAGAUAAUCCCCCAACUCGUGGUCCCUCACCUUCCCCACAGCACAGGAUCUCUUCUGCUGCAUCAAGAAACAUAGUCACAAGUUCUCGGUAUUUGCAUGUGGACAUCUUUGGAGGGGGCCGUUAUUCAGCCUAGCCCAACCCCCUAGGGACAUUUAGUAAUGUCUGGAGACAUUUUUCCUCCCCUCAACUGGGGAAAACAGGGGGAUGCCAAUGGCCUCUUGUAGGUGGAGGCCAGGGAUGCUGUAAAACACCCUACAAUUCACAGAACAGCCCCCCACGACAGCUGGGUCCCAAAUGGCAGUCGUGCUGAGGUGCAGAAACCCUCUUUUCUCAUGGUUGCUAGGGGCAACCGGAAAGCAAAUUAGGUCCACUGGACCCCGUUGCCGAGGAAAGCUGGCCUCAGCAACCAGGGGUCUCAAAACGGGCACACCCUGGAAGAUGUAGGACUAACAGGCACCCUGGGGGGCUCAGCCACCAUCUCAUAAAGGAGAAUGGGGUGGGGGGUGCAGGCCUCCGAGUCACCGUGGUUGCUAUGACAAGCCCCCCAGUUUUUGUUUUUGUUUUUUUGAGACAGAAUCUCCCUCUGUCGCUCAGGCUGGAGUGCAGUGGCGCGAUCUCAGCUCACUGCAACUUCCACCUCCCGGGUUUCAAAUGAUUCUCCCGCCUCAGCCUGUCGAGUAGCUGGGAUUACAGGUGCGUGCCACCACACCCGGCUAAUUUUUGUAUUUUUAGUAGAGACGGGGUUUCACCAUGUUGGCCAGGCUGGUCUCAAACUCCUGACCUCAAGUGAUCUGCCUGCCUCAGCCUCCCAAAAUGCUGGGAUUACAGGCAUGAGCCACUGCGCCCGGCCCACUCAGUUUCUCUUAAAAGAAAAACGAGGUCUCCGCCACGGGACCUCAGGUAACAUCCUAGGCCCCAUGGAAAUUGCUGGAGACCACCCAGCAACCAGUGUUUCCACCUCAGUCCCCAAGAGGAGGUGGCCUCAGGACCCAGGAGACAGUGACCUGAGUCAGGCUGGCCCAGCAUGAGGGGCCUGAGACCCCCCCGACUCCACCAGUAGGCUCCCUUGAGCCCAGUUCCAUGGAACAUUUCUCCCUAACAACCAGGGUAGGAGAGAGUCGGGGGGCCCCUCUUGCUGUGAACGUUGAGCACCGUCCUGGCAGGCUGUUUCCUAGCGAACAGUAUCAUAACCAGAAUCUGAGAGUCUCCUAAAGUCAGGCCCGGCCCAGGCCCCCUUGGACUAACCUGGCCCCAGGGUUGCAGGGGGCAUAGGGUGCAGCCCCCGUCCUAGGGGAGUCAGGCCUUGCCACUUGGGGUGUGUCCUC
rnacentral:lncRNA from 1 species